rnacentral:rRNA from 1 species
GAUGAACGCUGACAGAAUGCUUAACACAUGCAAGUCGAUUCAAGUUACCUUCGGGUAAUGAGGAUGGCGGACGGGUGAGUAACGCGUAAGGAACUUGCCUCUUGGUCUGGGACAACUGUUGGAAACGACAGCUAAUACCGGAUAUUAUGAGAUUCUCGCAUGGGAAACUUAUGAAAGCUAUAUGCGCCAAGAGAGAGCCUUGCGUUCCAUUAGCUAGUUGGUGGGGUAACGGCCCACCAAGGCGACGAUGGAUAGCCGGCCUGAGAGGGUGAACGGCCACAAGGGGACUGAGACACGGCCCUUACUCCUACGGGAGGCAGCAGUGGGGAAUAUUGGACAAUGGGCCACAAGCCUGAUCCAGCAAUUCUGUGUGCACGAUGAAGGUCUUCGGAUUGUAAAGUGCUUUCAGUUGGGAAGAAGAAAGUGACGGUACCAACAGAAGAAGCGACGGCUAAAUACGUGCCAGCAGCCGCGGUAAUACGUAUGUCGCAAGCGUUAUCCGGAUUUAUUGNNCGUAAAGCGCGUCUAGGCGGAAAAAUAAGUCUGAUGUUAAAAUGCGGGGCUCAACUCCGUAUUGCGUUGGAAACUGUUUUUCUAGAGUACUGGAGAGGUGGGCGGAACUACAAGUGUAGAGGUGAAAUUCGUAGAUAUUUGUAGGAAUGCCGAUGGAGAANUCAGCUCACUGGACAGAUACUGACGCUAAAGCGCGAAAGCGUGGGGAGCAAACAGNAU